rnacentral:rRNA from 1 species
UACGUAGGGUGCAAGCGUUGUUCGGAAUUAUUGGGCGUAAAGAGCUCGUAGGCGGUUUGUCGCGUCUGCUGUGAAAAUCCGGGGCUCAACCCCGGACUUGCAGUGGGUACGGGCAGACUGGAGUGUGGUAGGGGAGACUGGAAUUCCUGGUGUAGCGGUGGAAUGCGCAGAUAUCAGGAGGAACACCGAUGGCGAAGGCAGGUCUCUGGGCCACUACUGACGCUGAGAAGCGAAAGCAUGGGGAGCGAACAGG